rnacentral:rRNA from 1 species
UACAGAGGUCCCAAGCGUUGUUCGGAUUCACUGGGCGUAAAGGGUGCGUAGGUGGCCAGGUAAGUUCGGUGUGAAAGCUCGGAGCUUAACUCCGAAAUGUCAUUGAAUACUAUCUGGCUGGAGGGUCGGAGGGGAGACUGGAAUUCUCGGUGUAGCAGUGAAAUGCGUAGAUAUCGAGAGGAACACCAGUGGCGAAGGCGAGUCUCUGGACGACUCCUGACACUGAGGCACGAAAGCUAGGGGAGCAAACAGG